UUUGUUAAACCUCAUCUGGCAUUUGGGUCCACCUUUUCACCUAGUCGUAACAGGGCUUUAACCAAGGUUUUGCCAAAAGAAUCUGGACUCACUGAGACGUCUUUGUUUUAUACGUUAAAAGGUCAAUAAAGAGAUUGCCGCUGUAAACGUAAAUCAAAGACUACCGGGAAUGGGUGGCAAAGGGAGUAAACCAGUUGAAGGGCCACAGGGGCCCAUUGUUCUCAUGCUUUCAAAAUAUGGCCCUGACAGUUGAUGGUGUGAAGAAUGUGGUUUUCCGACAGGAGGGUUGUUAAGUACUGCACAGAUAAGGAAACUAGGCACAAUACUCCAAUUUUAUUUCUAUUUUAUCUGCUAUUUUAUACUAUUUUAAUUCUGCUAUUUUUAUAAUGGUAGUUCAGACUUAUUUACAUCAACACUGUGAUUAUUGUACUGUACAUCCUCUUAUUCUGUCUAAUCUUGUACUAAUUGUUAUGUUUUUGCUGUGAAGCACUUUGGGCUGCAAUUCUUGUAUGAAAGGUGCUAUACAAAUAAAGAUUAUUAUUAUUCUUAUUAUUAUUAUUAUUGGCCUAUUCACAGACGGAGACGAAACGGUGCACAGAGGAGGUCAUAGCCUUGAAAUUUUGGUGCCAGGACAACAACCUCCAUCUCAUUGUCAUCAAAACUAACUCUACUACAAGCAAGCCAAAAAUAUGGAACUGCUUACACUGGCACUCACUCAACAUCUGCAAAAAGUAUUCAGGAACAAGUCGGGGCCCUGGCUGCAAGGACUCGAUAACCCCUCCUCUCUCCCUCUCCCUCUCUCUUGGACGUUGUGGUGAUGGAGGGCUUGGGGGGGUGGGGGGGGUUCCCCUUCACUCCAGACAGAACCUGCCAUUCGAAUGCAAAGCCUCAGCUGCUGCAAAGCAGCCCCUCCUGCCCCCCUCCACCACUACCACCACCACUCUAUUAUUUUGUCGGAUUUCGCAGCUAUUUUUGGAUGGGCAGGCUAAGCCGUCUAAGGAUUUCCACUGGAGAUAUGUCAUCAAAACCCGGCCACCACCCCAUGCGACCAUUAACAUAAAAAUUAAAGAAUUAUAUGCAGAGAAAAUGGGCAGUGAAUAAAUGAAUAAAUAAAUACAUUUACAAAUCUUCAAACAAACAAUCUCCU
rnacentral:lncRNA from 1 species